UACGUAAGGGGCAAGCGUUGUCCGGAUUUAUUGGGCGUAAAGAGCGUGUAGGCGGCUUUACAGGUCCGUUGUGAAAACUCGAGGCUCAACCUCGAGACGCCGGUGGAAACCGUAAAGCUAGAGUCCGGAAGAGGAGAGUGGAAUUCCUGGUGUAGCGGUGAAAUGCGCAGAUAUCAGGAGGAACACCCGUGGCGAAAGCGGCUCUCUGGGACGGUACUGACGCUGAGACGCGAAAGCGUGGGGAGCAAACAGG
rnacentral:rRNA from 1 species